UACGGAGGGUGCAAGCGUUGUUCGGAAUCAUUGGGCGUAAAGCGCGUGUAGGCGGCUUGGCAAGUCAGUUGUGAAAGCCCGGGGCCCAACCCCGGAACUGCAUCUGAAACUGCCUGGCUAGAGUCCCGGAGAGGAAGGCAGAAUUCCCGGUGUAGGGGUGAAAUCCGUAGAUAUCGGGAGGAAUACCAGCGGCGAAGGCGGCCUUCUGGACGGUGACUGACGCUGAGACGCGAAAGCGUGGGGAGCAACCAGG
rnacentral:rRNA from 1 species